rnacentral:rRNA from 1 species
CGAACGGGUGAGUAAUAUAUCGGAACGUACCUAGUAAUGGGGAACAACCAAUCGAAAGGUUGGCUAAUACCGCAUACGACCUACGGGUGAAAGCAGGGGAUCUUCGGACCUUGCGUUAUUGGAGCGGCCGAUAUCUGAUUAGCUUGUUGGUAGGGUAAAAGCCUACCAAGGCGACGAUCAGUAGCUGGUCUGAGAGGACGAUCAGCCACACUGGAACUGAGACACGGCCCAGACUCC